GAAACAUCAACCACUGCCCAAGUCCCAUCAGCAUGCUGCUUACAGUACCUAACGAAAUAGUUUUCACGGGUUGGAACGAGCGGUGAAGGUACCUGAAACUCUGCUGUUAUCUGAAACAAUCGUGAUGUUAGUUGCCCUAUCACCUCUUCUCGCAAACGAGCAUUUUCGAUCCUCAAGUGCUGCUCAUCAAAUGACAUCUCGCCAAUGGCUGCUGGGCCACCGCAGUUGGGACAAGUAGCGUUGCUGAGUGCUUCUUUGUACCUGAUGUUCUCUGCACGAAGUUUUUCAUUCUCAUUCCUCAGCUGUGUGUUCUCAUGGCGUUCAUGUUGAGCCUGUGAACAAUUUGGUUAGCAGCUAAAUGAGUUCAGAAUUUAUAUUCAAAACAAGAUUACCAUAGAUAAGAAUGUUGUUUAUUUAAAUUACAAGAUGGAAUCUAGCUUGUUAGAUCAGCUGUUACCUUCA